UGGGGAAUAUUGGACAAUGGGCGAAAGCCUGAUCCAGCCAUGCCGCGUGUGUGAAGAAGGUCUUCGGAUUGUAAAGCACUUUAAGUUGGGAGGAAGGGCAGUAAGCGAAUACCUAGCUGUUUUGACGUUACCGACAGAAUAAGCACCGGCUAACUCUGUGCCAGCAGCCGCGGUAAUACAGAGGGUGCAAGCGUUAAUCGGAAUUACUGGGCGUAAAGCGCGCGUAGGUGGUUCGUUAAGUUGAAUGUGAAAGCCCCGGGCUUAACCUGGGAACUGCAUCCAAAACUGGCGAGCUAGAGUAGGGCAGAGGGUGGUGGAAUUUCCUGUGUAGCGGUGAAAUGCGUAGAUAUAGGCAGGAACACCAGUGGCGAAGGCGACCACCUGGGCUCAUACUGACACUGAGGUGCGAAAGCGUGGGGAGCAAACAGG
rnacentral:rRNA from 1 species